rnacentral:sRNA from 1 species
UCUGUCGAAAUGGUGCGGUAGCCCCACAC